UACGUAGGUGGCAAGCGUUGUCCGGAUUUACUGGGCGUAAAGAGCGCGCAGGCGGUCGUUCAAGUCGCGUGUGAAAGCCCCCGGCUCAACUGGGGAGGGUCACGCGAUACUGAUCGACUGGAAGGCAGGAGAGGGUAGUGGAAUUCCCAGUGUAGAGGUGAAAUUCGUAGAUAUUGGGAAGAACACCAGUGGCGAAGGCGGCUAACUGGUCCGGUACUGACGCUGAGGUGCGAAAGCGUGGGGAGCAAACAGG
rnacentral:rRNA from 1 species